rnacentral:tRNA from 1 species
GCGAGAGUGGCGAAAUUGGUAUAUGCACUGGAUUUAAAAUCCAACGACUUAGGUCAUACGGGUUCGACUCCCGUCUCUCGCACCA